ACAAAAAAAAAAAAAAAAUUAGCCUGCUGGCAUGGUGGCAUGUGCCUGUAGUCCCAGCUGCUCAGGAGGCUGAGGCAGGAGAAUUACUUCAAUCCAGGAGGUGGAGGUUGCAGUGAGCCGAGAUCGUGCCACUGCACUCCAGCCUGGUGACAGAGCAAGAUUCUGUCUCAAAAACAAAAACAAAAACAAACAAACAAAAAACGAGCACAGUAUAGUAUAUGAACAUCAUGACAAAAGUUCAGAGUGCUUUGAGAGUCUAUGGGGGCGGAGAAAAACUUUAAUGAAAUCAAAUGAUAUGUUAGGCAGGCUGAAAGGACUGUGAACCAGGAAGGGGAAGUGCCAUGAGAAAACCUGGAAAAAGCGAAGCUAGAAGUUAUAGUGAAGGAAAAGUGGCAAGAUGUGUGGUUAGAAAGAUGACAAAACCCUCAGUCUGUGCCAGAGUUUGGACUUUAUACCAAGGACAAUAGGAAACCUUUGAAAGAUUGUUUCAUUUCUCUGGCUGCAAAAAGUAAAUAUUUUAAUGAAAGUGUCCUGCUUGGAUCCUCGGAAAUUUUGGGAGAUUUCUCGAUUUAAAAGCAAAUGCAGCUACUACGAAAAGCAGUAUAAGGUUCUUCAAACAAUUAAAAAUAGAACUACAUACCAGCAGUCUCACUGCUGCAUAUCAAUCCAAAAGAAUUAUAAUCAGAAUCUCAGAGAGAUAUUUGUACUCCCAUAUUCAUUGUAGCACUAUUUACAAUAUCCAAGAUAUGAAAACAACCUAAAUAUACGUUGCCAAGUAAAAUGUGUCAUAUACAUAAACUGGAAUAUUAUUCAACCUUAAAAAAGAAGUAAAUCCUGCAAUAUGUGACAAGAAUGAACAUUGAGGACAUUAUACCAAGUUAAAUAAGCCAGUCAUAGAAAAACAAAUACUGCGUGGGACAAUUUAUAUGAGAUACUAAAGUAAUGAAAUUCAUAGAAGCACAGAGUAGAAUGGUGACUGCCAGGGACUAGGGGCUUGGGGAAAUGGGAAGUUGCUAAUCGACAGGUACAAAGUUUCAUUUAUGGAAGAUGAAUAAAUUCUAAAGUUAAUAAUAAUGUAUUAUGCACUUAAAAACCUCUUGAGGAUACAUCUCAUGUUGUGUUCUUACUACAAUAAAAUAAAAUAAACCAAAUUUUAACUUGAGUUCUCUCUCACAUCUUCUUUAGGCAGGCCUGCUAGCCAUAACUUCUCUGAUACUUGCUCCUGACAUCUUCCUGAAGUUUAAGAAGGCAGGUAAAGGCAUUGUAGACUGAACGUUUCAGAUGGCUUCAAACUACUUAAUAAGAGCCAUCAUUUUUAAGUAACCCCCUAAAUAACAGGUUUUAGAGUCUGAUUAGUUGAGAUGCAAAGUUUAUUCACACGAGCCAUGAGGGAAGAGAGAAAAGCAGAAUCCUAAAGUGGAAGUGAAAACUAUAAUACACCCUCAGUUCCAGCAGAAGCUCAAAGAUAGUAAAUCUUGCCACAAGUCAAUGGCCAAGUCAAGACUAGAAUUACUUUCUCAAGUCAUCCUUUU
rnacentral:lncRNA from 1 species